AACUAUCUCAUGUUUAUUGUCCAGGGUUCCUACACAUUUUCCAUUUCAAAAUUCCAUACUUUUUCCAUACCCAAAUUUUCAAACUUCCAGAUUUUUCUACUCAUAAUCUUGAAAUUGCGGCCACUUCUGGUUUGGGAUAACUCUGUGAAAAAAAAAAAAACGUAUGGACAUCUGAAGUGAAUUAAAAAAAUGACACUUAAUAUUCGUCCAUUUAGUCA